CCUACGGGUGGCAGCAGUGAGGAAUAUUGGUCAAUGGUCGCGAGCCUGAACCAGCCAAGUCGCGUGAGGGAAGACGGUCCUAUGGAUUGUAAACCUCUUUUGUCGGGGAGCAAAAGCCGCCACGCGUGGCGUUCCGAGAGUACCCGAAGAAAAAGCAUCGGCUAACUCCGUGCCAGCAGCCGCGGUAAUACGGAGGAUGCGAGCGUUAUCCGGAUUUAUUGGGUUUAAAGGGUGCGCAGGCGGAAUGUUAAGUCAGCGGUAAAAUUGAGAGGCUCAACCCCUUCGAGCCGUUGAAACUGGUUGUCUUGAGUGGGUGAGAAGUAUGCGGAAUGCGCGGUGUAGCGGUGAAAUGCAUAGAUAUCGCGCAGAACUCCGAUUGCGAAGACAGCGUACCGGCGCCAGACUGACGCUGAGGCACGAAAGCGUGGGGAUCGAACAGGAUUAGAUACCCGUGUAGUC
rnacentral:rRNA from 1 species